rnacentral:tRNA from 1 species
AAUAAGAUAAGCUAAACUUAAGCUAGUGGGCUCAUAACCCAAAAAUGAUACACUCUCUUAUUA